CACACCCGUGCGGGAGAGUCCCGGUCGCUCUGUGCCGGGACGCCGAAGGAGCAAGCUCUCCCCAUAAACUCUCAGGCCCCCAACCGCCGGGUCAGG
rnacentral:ncRNA from 1 species